UACGGGGGGGGCAAGCGUUGUUCGGAAUUACUGGGCGUAAAGGGCUCGUAGGCGGCCAACUAAGCCCGACGUGAAAUCCCCAGGCUUAACCUGGGAACUGCGUCGGAUACUGGAUGGCUUGAAUUCGGGAGAGGGAUGCAGAAUUCCAGGUGUAGCGGUGAAAUGCGUAGAUAUCUGGAGGAAUACCGGUGGCGAAGGCGGCAUCCUGGACCGACAUUGACGCUGAGGAGCGAAAGCUAGGGGAGCAAACGGG
rnacentral:rRNA from 1 species